rnacentral:rRNA from 2 species
GUCUUUUUGAAUUAAAUUUAAAGUCUAACCUGCCCACUGAAAAUUUUAAAUGGCCGCAGUAUUCUAACUGUGCAAAGGUAGCAUAAUCAUUAGUCUUUUAAUUGAAGGCUGGAAUGAAUGGUUGGACGAAAUAUUAACUGUUUCAUUUAAAUUUUUUAUAGAAUUUUAUUUUUUAGUCAAAAAGCUAAAAUAAAUUUAAAAGACGAGAAGACCCUAUAAAUCUUUAUAUUUUAUUUAUUUUAAUUAUAAAGAUUAUUUUUGUUAUAAUAAAUUAAAAUAUUUUAUUGGGGUGAUAUUAAAAUUUAAAAAACUUUUAAUUUUUAAAACCAUUAAUUUAUGAGUAAUUGAUCCAUUAAUAAUGAUUAAAAAUUUAAGUUACUUUAGGGAUAACAGCGUAAUUUUUUUGGAGAGUUCAUAUCGAUAAAAAAGAUUGCGACCUCGAUGUUGGAUUAAGAUAUAAUUUUGGGUGUAGCCGUUCAAAUUUUAAGUCUGUUCGACUUUUAAAUUCUU